UACGUAGGGUGCAAGCGUUGUCCGGAAUUAUUGGGCGUAAAGAGCUCGUAGGUGGUGUGUCGCGUCUGCCGUGAAAGCCCGGGGCUUAACUCCGGGUCUGCGGUGGAUACGGGCAGACUAGAGGCAGGUAGGGGAGAACGGAAUUCCCGGUGUAGCGGUGAAAUGCGCAGAUAUCAGGAAGAACACCCGUGGCUAAGGCGGCUCUCUGGGACGGUACUGACGCUGAGACGCGAAAGCGUGGGGAGCGAACAGG
rnacentral:rRNA from 1 species